rnacentral:lncRNA from 1 species
CUCAAAGAGCAAAGUCGAGCUUUCAGACAGGUAAUGAAUACUGCUCUACCUCUGCAUGACCUCGGGUCGAGUCAAAUUUAAAAGGACAAGGCCGAGUUUUCAUACAGGUAUAUUUAAAUGUUGUUCUACUCACCCUGAAACUUGAUAUCUACCUGGCCUCAAGUUUAUUGAUAUACUAUACAUAUAUAUAUUUAUGCCCAUGAAACCAGUGAAAUCUAUAUUUUUGUUAUUAAUUAUAGAGAGGGAGUUUAAAGAAUGAGUCGCUAAUAUCAUUUAUAUGCAACGCUCGAAGAAAUAUGGAAUUGGUGUGGUCCUUAUAGAGGCCAAUCAUGAGUGUGUGUGUGUGUGUGUGUGUGUGUGUGUGUGUGUGUGUGUACACACACACAUAUGAGUAGUUUACAUAUCAAGAAAACAAAAGAUCAAAGAGUUGAUAUGUGUGUGUGUAUAGACUUUCGUAUGUAAUCAAUGUUCAUAUUUUAUACUGAUCCAUCUAUUAGGCCCCCUCAAUCUUAGCAAGGGAAGGACCAACGCAAACAUUGGAGCGAGAGAUCUGAAACUUCGGAGCAGAGAGACCUUUGAUCAACACAUCAGUUACUUGCUUAUCAUUAGAGAUAAAUCGAACAACAAUGUCUCCCAAUUAAUUAAACAUGUUCACGAACACAGAGCAGAUCAACUUUAAUAUGUUUGGAGUGAGCAUGUAUUAAUGGCAAGAUAAGCAGUAGAUAUAUAUGUUGUCACAAAAUAUACCAGUUCUUUCACUUGUCUUUAAUUUUUUUAAAGCUUGUUGAUUAAUUAAUUAGCUGAGAAAAUAUUAAUUUAGUCUAUUUAAUUAUGAGACAUGCUGGUAAUUUAAAUGGAGUCCAAUAAAUGCACUCUGAUAAUUUAGGUAACUUUUUUCUAAAAUCAUUUGUCUUGGAAAUAUAGUUGAUAUUACAAAGCCAAACUGGGAAUUUCCCUUAAUCUGAAAAUAGCCAGGUACCUUCUUUUUUUUCUCCCAUAGAAAUCCAC